GAUGAACGCUGGCGGCGUGCCUAAUACAUGCAAGUCGAGCGAACGGACGAGAAGCUUGCUUCUCUGAUGUUAGCGGCGGACGGGUGAGUAACACGUGGAUAACCUACCUAUAAGACUGGGAUAACUUCGGGAAACCGGAUCUAAUACCGGAUAAUAUUUUGAACCGCAUGGUUCAAAAGUGAAAGACGGUCUUGCUGUCACUUAUAGAUGGAUCCGCGCUGCAUUAGCUAGUUGGUAAGGUAACGGCUUACCAAGGCAACGAUGCAUAGCCGACCUGAGAGGGUGAUCGGCCACACUGGAACUGAGACACGGUCCAGACUCCUACGGGAGGCCGCAGUAGGGAAUCUUCCGCAAUGGGCGAAAGCAUGACGGAGCAACGCCGCGUGAGUGAUGAAGGUCUUCGGAUCGUAAAACUCUGUUAUUAGGGAAGAACAUCUGUGUCAGUAAAUGUGCAGAUCUUGACGGUACCUAAUCAGAAAGCCACGGCUAACUACGUG
rnacentral:rRNA from 1 species